UUUACUAAAUUGAUGACAACUUCAUACCAAACUCAGAAAAAUUAUGUUGAAAUCGUUUAAACAUGCAUCACCAUCUGAAUGAUCAAC